rnacentral:rRNA from 1 species
GACGAACGCUGGCGGCGUGCUUAACACAUGCAAGUCGAACGGUAAGGCCCUUCGGGGUACACGAGUGGCGAACGGGUGAGUAACACGUGGGUGAUCUGCCCUGCACUUCGGGAUAAGCCUGGGAAACUGGGUCUAAUACCGGAUAGGACCACUGCCUGCAUGGGCGGUGGUGGAAAGCUUUUGCGGGGUGGGAUGGGCCCGCGGCCUAUCAGCUUGUUGGGGGGGUGAUGGCCUACCAAGGCGACGACGGGUAGCCGGCCUGAGAGGGUGACCGGCCACACUGGGACUGAGAUACGGCCCAGACUCCUACGGGAGGCAGCAGUGGGGAAUAUUGCACAAUGGGCGCAAGCCUGAUGCAGCGACGCCGCGUGAGGGAUGACGGCCUUCGGGUUGUAAACCUCUUUCAGCACCGACGAAGCGCAAGUGACGGUAGGUGCAGAAGAAGGACCGGCCAACUACGUGCCAGCAGCCGCAGUAA